rnacentral:sRNA from 1 species
UGUACUAUUUGAUUGGCCGCGAGCGCU